rnacentral:lncRNA from 1 species
AUGAUAUCCAACCCUGCUAAUGAUAAUGAAAAUGAAUCAUGUAUUGAUCUGUUGACUUUUGAUCUUCAUCAUCAGCCUCUGGAGGAGGAGGCCAGAAGACAAAGAGACAAGGAGAUUGCUACAAGUCAAAAUCCAGUUCAGGAGAGGAGUGUAAACCUGAUGUGUCAAACAAAUCAGAGACAUGUGAUCAAACAAUGUGAUCAAUCUAAACAGACUGGAAGAGAACAAGAGAAAAACAGUCAGCAGGCCGAACAGGCUGGACGUGAUCAGGGAGAUGAUGAGGAUAAAGAGAGAUCAGUGGAUGAGUGUGAGAUCAACCAAACACCUCCUGGAACAAUCAGGAUCGGGUUGCUCAAUGUUCGAUCGAUGAAUCCAAGAACAUCCAGGAUCUCAGAGCUUAUAACAGGAAAUAACGUGGACGUCUUUCUCACAACAGAGACGUGGUUAACAGAUGAAACAGCAGUCAGAGUCCUCAGAGAGGCUUCACCAGAAGGGUUCAGGUUCCACUAUCAGGUGAGGACAGAUGGUAGAAGAGGAGGAGGGGUGGCCAAUCAGUUCUCACAGGAACUGCAGGGAGAACAAAUUCACUUUGACUCUCUAAACAUAACGACCUUUGAGUUUGUUGUCACAGUUCUGCAACAUGAUGAUUGGGACCAACCUGUCGUGAUCAUCAAUGUGUAUCUCCCACCAGGAUACAACCAGCAACAAUUCCGCAGGUUUCUGAAUGAGUUUCAAAGUCUCCUGGAUGAAGUCAAUAGGAACUACAGCAGCAUCAUUGUGACUGGAGAUUUCAACAUUCAUGUUAAUAAUGAAAGGAGGUCCUUUACUGACGAGUUUUAUCAUGUUUGGCCGCUCUAUAACCUUACGCAGCAUGUAGAGGAGCCAACACAUCGAGCAGGUAACACUCUGGAUCUGGUCCUCACCUCAAAUGUGGAAAUCUCUGAUCUCAUUGUUCAGAAAGAUACAAACUCAGAUCAUUCCACUGUUUAUUUUACUGCAAAGCCAAAAGACACAAGAAGGAAACUGAAAAAAACGAGAACAAAGAGCAGAAACGAUUCAGACAGACGGAGGAAUAGAAACUGA